CGCAGUACGAGGAGUGACGGGAACCGGGAGCCGGCUCUACGCGCCUGGAGCGCACGGGUCCCAGCGCCCAUCGGCCCGGGGUCCGAGGGGCCCGCUGCCCGGGCUCACUGCGUGGUGCUACCGCCCCCGGGCCCGCUGCGCCGCGCCGGAGCCCCAGCAGCCUUUGAAAGAUGUGUGCGACAGUGCGCGUCCUCUCCUGCCUCUGGAUGUUUCCUUGGAGCCUCUGGCCUUCGGGAAGACCGCCAGAGUUUCACUCUUGUUGCCCAGGCUGGAGUGCAAUGGCUCAAUCUCGGCUCAUCGCAACCACCGCCUCCCAGAGCCUUGCUCUGUCACCCAGGCUGGACUGUAGUGGGGUUGUCUCGGCUCACUGCAACCUCUGCCUCCUGGAUUCAAGCGAUUCUCCUGUCUCAUCCUCUCAUCCUCCAUACUACAGAGAUAUUUUCCUGUAAGUGAACAGUACAGCUGUUGAAGGCAAGGACAAUGGAUACUUAAAAACAGGUAAGUUUAGAGUUAGCAAAUCCAGCUUCUGUCCUGCUGUAAUGCUUAUUAGGAAAAUCACGACAGGUUGUCAUCCUAUCUGCUGGAAUAUUUCCAGUGGCAGAAAGCUCGUCACUGCAUGCUAUAUACCACUCCAUUUUUGAGCAGUUCAGUUUUAAAUGUCUUCCUUAUAACUCAGAUAUGGUGUCCCGUAAUAUCUAAUCCCUCUCCUUCUUUUCUGAGACAGUGUCUUGCU